rnacentral:rRNA from 1 species
UACGUAGGACCCAAGCGUUGUCCGGGUUUACUGGGUGUAAAGGGCGUGUAGGUGGGCGCUUAAGUCGAUGGUGAAAUCCUGCGGCUCAACCGUAGAAUUGCCGUCGAUACUGGGCGUCUUGAGUGCGGCAGAGGGAGAUGGAAUUCAUGGUGUAGCGGUGAAAUGUGUAGAUAUCAUGAAGAACACCGGUAGCGAAGGCGGUCUCCUGGUCCGUUACUGACACUGAGGCGCUAAAGCGUGGGGAGCAAACAG